AUUGAACGCUGGCGGAAUGCUUUACACAUGCAAGUCGAACGGUAGAGGGGCAACCCUUGAGAGUGGCGAACGGGUGAGUAAUGUAUCGGAACAUGCCCAGUCGUGGGGGAUAACGUAGCGAAAGUUACGCUAAUACCGCAUACGAUCUAUGGAUGAAAGCGGGGGAUCGGAAGACCUCGCGCGAUUGGAGUGGCCGAUAUCAGAUUAGGUAGUUGGUGGGGUAAAGGCCUACCAAGCCGACGAUCUGUAGAUGGUCUGUGAGGAUGACCAGCCACACUGGGACUGAGACACGGCCCAGACUCCUACGGGAGGCAGCAGUGAGGAAUUUUGGACAAUGGGCGCAAGCCUGAUCCAGCCAUUCCGCGUGCAGGAAGAAGGCCUUCGGGUUGUAAACUGCUUUUGUACGGAACGAAACGCGCUGAGCUAAUACCUCGGCGUAAUGACGGUACCGUAAGAAUAAGCACCGGCUAACUACGCGCCAGCCGCCGCGGUAA
rnacentral:rRNA from 1 species